GAAACGACUGCUAAGACUGGAUAGGAAGAUAAAAGGCAUCUUUUAUCUUUUAAAAGACCUAGUAAUAGGUAUGCUUUAGGAGGGGCUUGCGCCAUAUUAGUUAGUUGGUAGGGUAAUGGCCUACCAAGACGAUGAUGUGUAGCUGGACUGAGAGGUUGAACAGCCACAUUGGGACUGAGACACGGCCCAAACUCCUACGGGAGGCAGCAGUAGGGAAUUUUCGGCAAUGGAGGAAACUCUGACCGAGCAACGCCGCGUGAAUGACGAAGUACUUCGGUAUGUAAAGUUCUUUUAUCAAGGAAGAAAAGCAAAUGGCGAACCAUUUGUUUGCCGGUACUUGAUGAAUAAGCCCCGGCUAAUUAUGUGCCAGCAGCCGCGGUAAGACAUAAGGGGCAAGUGUUAUCCGGAAUUAUUGGGCGUAAAGGGUGCGUAGGCGGUCUAGUAAGUCAGUGGUGUAAUGGCAACGCUUAACGUUGUCCGGCUAUUGAAACUGCUAAACUUGAGUUAGAUAGAGGCGAGUGGAAUUUCCAUGUGUAGCGGUAAAAUGCGUAAAAUAUAUGGAGGAACACCAGAGGCGUAGGCGGCUCGCUGGGUCUUAACUGACGCUGAGGCACGAAAGCGUGGGGAGCAAACAGGAUUAGAUACCCUGGUAGUCCACGCCGUAAACGAUGAGUACUAAGUGUCGGGUUAAACCGGUACUGAAGUUAACACAUUAAGUACUCCGCCUGAGUAGUACGUACGCAAGUAUGAAACUUAAAGGAAUUGACGGGACUCCGCACAAGCGGUGGAUCAUGUUGUUUAAUUCGAAGAUACCCGAAAAACCUUACCAGGUCUUGACAUGUUUUUGCAAAAUGAUAGUAAUAUCGUGGAGGUUACCAGAAACACAGGUGGUGCAUGGUUGUCGUCAGCUCGUGUCGUGAGAUGUUAGGUUAAGUCCUAAAACGAGCGAAACCCUUAUCGUUAGUUGCCAGCACGUUAUGGUGGGGACUUUAACGAGACUGCCAAUGAUAAAUUGGAGGAAGGUGAGGAUCACGUCAAAUCAGCAUGCCCCUUAUGACCUGGGCUACAAACGUGAUACAAUGGCUGUUACAAAGGGUAGCUGAAACGCAAGUUCUUGGCCAAUCCCCAAAAACAGUCCCAGUCCGGAUUGAAGUCUGCAACUCGACUUCAUGAAGUUGGAAUCGCUAGUAAUCGCGAAUCAGCAUGUCGCGGUGAAUACGUUCUCGGGUUUGUACACACCGCCCGUCA
rnacentral:rRNA from 1 species